rnacentral:rRNA from 1 species
AUUGAACGCUGGCGGCAGGCCUAACACAUGCAAGUCGAACGAGUGGCGGACGGGGGAGUAAUGUCUGGGAAACUGCCCGCUGGAGGGGGAUAACUACUGGAAACGGUAGCUAAUACCGCAUACCAUCGGAUGUGCCCAGAUGGGAUUAGCUUGUAGGUGAGGUCAAGGCUCACUUAGGCGACGAUCCCUAGCUGGUCUGAGAGGAUGACCAGCCACACUGUAAUUUAGACACUGUCCAGACUCCGGUGGGAGGCAGCAGUGGGGAUUAGUGCACUAGGGGCGCAAGCCUGUUGCAGCCAUGCCGCGUGUAUGAAGAAGGCCUUCGGGUUGUAAAGUACUUUCAGCGGGGAGGCGUUACCCUCAGAAGAAGCACCGGCUCACUCCGUGCCAGCAGCCGCUGUAAUAC